GCCUGACAGAAAUAAACAAGCCACCUGGUUCACGAAUGAAGGAAAUGGACCAAAUACCAAGAACGCCUCUUAAUCCCUGAUCACUUGGACAGGAGAGAUCAGGAAGCAGACUAAAAGGGAUUAAAUACCUGCAGAAGAUCAAUUUGCAAGCGAUGGAACUUUGAUUCAGUCCCGGUGGUCUGACUCCGGAACCAGAACUGGGGCUAGGGCAGGACAUUUUCACCCAGUAUCACAACACUACAUAAGUUGUGGAAUCGUUUGAGACCAGUCCUUCAGACUUUAAAAAGGAAUUGAAAUUUUGAGUGUAGACAUCACGACUCUUCAAAAGCCGAAAACAGUGGCCGAUUUUCAAACUAGAAAAGGCCACUGAAGGAUCCUACAGGUUUUAACAUCUAAUAAGAGGCCCCGCAGAGCACCCCUACCUGUCCUAGACACCUCGAGCACCAUUUAAUCUGCUGAGUCACCUGGCAAAAGUCCCGGAGCAGCUCGCCUGCAGCUCAGACCGGUUGCAGAUCCUUCUCUUUUGCGGGCCCACUCAAAACUGGCAGCCUUUAGGGUAAUUCAGAAAAUGGGUCAAAGGAGCAGGUACGAAUGAGGUACAUGUCGUCUCCAAACUUCAAGGAGCCCUGCUGGCUCGGUGCCUCUUUCUCCGUGAUCACGGGGAACACUGGAAACCACUGUCGACAUGCCUCAGACACUGGACUCCUAGAAACGUCAUUAAGGUGGCAGACCUCUAAAAUUUUAAGGGGCUCAUUUCCCACCUGCUGAUACACAGGUGUCCUACCCAGGAGUCUAGAGUGGUUGCAACUCCUGCUUUCCACGUCCACAUCAGCAUAGUAGUGCCAACACAGUGGGCCAGUAUGAUGUCUUGUCAAAUGGAAGAAUGAUCGGUCUCUGCAGGGGCAGUAGUGACAGAGGACUGGAGAAUUCUAUAUCCCUGAGCUUGGGCAGGGAAGGUGGAUUUCUUGUCCUACCAGCUCAAAGCAUACUGUUUUUGUGGGUGUUUACUAACACAAAUAGAUAAUGCAGCAUUGACCAGAUACCCAGCUACAUAGCACACGACAGAGAGCAUGUUGACUUGCUCUAAAAACAAAAAGACAUCUGGAACAGCAGCUAAAUUGGAGUGGCCACCUGAAUCAGCUGAUAACAGACUGUCACCAAAAUUCACCUGCCUCUUGUACAGACACAAUUGAGCAAUUCUUUCAAAAGGAAGACAUUGGCAUUAUGAUUGCACAAUAGGG